rnacentral:rRNA from 1 species
GACGAACGCUGGCGGCGUGCCUAAUACAUGCAAGUCGAACGAGAGCGACCGGUGCUUGCACUGGUCAAUCUAGUGGCGAACGGGUGAGUAACACGUGGGUAACCUGCCCAUCAGAGGGGGAUAACAUCCGGAAACGGAUGCUAAAACCGCAUAGGUCUUCGAACCGCAUGGUUUGAAGAGGAAAAGAGGCGCAAGCUUCUGCUGAUGGAUGGACCCGCGGUGCAUUAGCUAGUUGGUGAGGUAACGGCUCACCAAGGCCGUGAUGCAUAGCCGACCUGAGAGGGUGAUCGGCCACAUUGGGACUGAGACACGGCCCAAACUCCUACGGGAGGCAGCAGUAGGGAAUCUUCCGCAAUGGACGCAAGUCUGACGGAGCAACGCCGCGUGAGUGAAGAAGGUUUUCGGAUCGUAAAACUCUGUUAUUAGAGAAGAACAAGUGCUAGAGUAACUGUUAGCGCCUUGACGGUAUCUAACCAGAAAGCCACGGCUAACUACGUG